GACGAACGCUGGCGGCGUGCUUAACACAUGCAAGUCGAACGGAAAGGCCCUGCUUUUGUGGGGUGCUCGAGUGGCGAACGGGUGAGUAACACGUGAGUAACCUGCCCUUGACUUUGGGAUAACUUCCGGAACCUGGGGCUAAUACCGGAUAGGAGCUCCUGCUGCAUGGUGGGGGUUGGAAAGUUUCGGCGGUUGGGGAUGGACUCGCGGCUUAGCAGCUUGUUGGUGGGGUAGUGGCUUACCAAGGCUUUGACGGGUAGCCGGCCUGAGAGGGUGACCGGCCACAUUGGGACUGAGAUACGGCCCAGACUCCUACGGGAGGCAGCAGUGGGGAAUAUUGCACGAUGGGCGGAAGCCUGAUGCAGCAACGCCGCGUGCGGGAUGACGGCCUUCGGGUAGUAAACCGCUUUCGCCUGUGACGAAGCGUGAGUGACGGUAAUGGAUAAAGAAGCACCGGCUAACUACGUG
rnacentral:rRNA from 1 species